CGCCUAACACAUGCAAGUCGAACGAAGUAGCAAUACUUAGUGGCAGACGGGUGAGUAACAUGUAGGUAUCUGCCCUUUGGCCUGGAAUAACACGAGGAAACUUGUGCUAAUACCGGAUAAGUCUUUACGGAGAAAGCUUAAUGCACCAUUGGAUGAGCCUGCACUUGAUUAGUUUGUUGGUGGGGUAAUGGCCUACCAAGACUGUGAUCAAUAGCUGAUUUGAGAGGAUGAUCAGCCACAUUGGGACUGAGACACGGCCCAAACUCCUACGGGAGGCAGCAGUGGGGAAUCUUGCACAAUGGAGGAAACUCUGAUGCAGCGAUGCCGCGUGAGUGAAGAAGGCCUUUGGGUUGUAAAGCUCUUUCGUCGGGGAAGAAAAUGACUGUACCCGAAUAAGAAGGUCCGGCUAACUUCGUGCCAGCAGCCGCGGUAAUACGAAGGGACCUAGCGUAGUUCGGAAUUACUGGGCUUAAAGAGUUCGUAGGUGGUUGAAAAAGUUGGUGGUGAAAUCCCAGAGCUUAACUCUGGAACUGCCAUCAAAACUUUUCAGCUAGAGUAUGAUAGAGGAAAGCAGAAUUUCUAGUGUAGAGGUGAAAUUCGUAGAUAUUAGAAAGAAUACCAAUUGCGAAGGCAGCUUUCUGGAUCAUUACUGACACUGAGGAACGAAAGCAUGGGUAGCGAAGAGGAUUAGAUACCCUCGUAGUCCAUGCCGUAAACGAUGUGUGUUAGACGUUGGAAAUUUAUUUUCAGUGUCGCAGCGAAAGCGAUAAACACACCGCCUGGGGAGUACG
rnacentral:rRNA from 1 species